rnacentral:rRNA from 1 species
AGGACGAACGCUGGCGGCGUGCUUAACACAUGCAAGUCGAGCGAGCCCCGCCUUUCGGGGUGGUGUGCUAGCGGCGAACGGGUGAGUAACACGUGGGCAACCUGCCCUCAGCUCUGGGAUAACUCCAAGAAAUUGGGGCUAAUACCGGAUAUGACUGCUGACCGCAUGGUCUGGUGGUGGAAAGAUUUAUCGGCUGGGGGAUGGGCCCGCGGCCUAUCAGCUUGUUGGUGGGGUAGUGGCCUACCAAGGCGACGACGGGUAGCCGGCCUGAGAGGGUGACCGGCCACACUGGGACUGAGACACGGCCCAGACUCCUACGGGAGGCAGCAGUGGGGAAUAUUGCGCAAUGGGCGGAAGCCGUGACGCAGCGACGCCGCGUGGGAUGACGGCCUUGGGUUGUAAACCUCUUUCAGCAGGACGAAGCGAGAGUGACGGUCCUGCAGAAGAAGCACCGGCAACUACG